CGGGGCGUAGCGCAGCUUGGUAGCGCGCAACAAUGGGGUUGUUGAGGUCGCUGGUUCGAAUCCAGUCGCCCCGA
rnacentral:tRNA from 2 species